rnacentral:rRNA from 1 species
AUGSRAGGAUGAGGGACAUGAUCAGCCAUGCCGCGUGUGUGAAGAAGGCCUUUUGGUUGUAAAGCACUUUAAGCGAGGAGGAGGAGCUCUUGGUUAAUACCCAAGAUGCUUGGACGUUACUCGCAGAAUAAGCACCGGCUAACUCUGUGCCAGCAGCCGCGGUAAUACAGAGGGUGCAAGCGUUAAUCGGAUUUACUGGGCGUAAAGCGCGCGUAGGUGGCCAAUUAAGUCAAAUGUGAAAUCCCCGAGCUUAACUUGGGAAUUGCAUUCGAUACUGGUUGGCUAGAGUAUGGGAGAGGAUGGUAGAAUUCCAGGUGUAGCGGUGAAAUGCGUAGAGAUCUGGAGGAAUACCGAUGGCGAAGGCAGCCAUCUGGCCUAAUACUGACACUGAGGUGCGAAAGCAUGGGGAGCAAACAGGAUUAGAUACCCUGGUAGUCCAUGCCGUAAACGAUGUCUACUAGCCGUUGGGGCCUUUGAGGCUUUAGUGGCGCAGCUAACGCGAUAAGUAGACCGCCUGGGGAGUACGGUCGCAAGACUAAAA